rnacentral:rRNA from 1 species
UGUAAGCGUAGCGAUACGUUGAGCUGACCAGUACUAAUGACCCGAGAGGCUUAACCUUACAACACCGAAGGUGUU